rnacentral:lncRNA from 1 species
UGGUGGUGGUAUCCUGACCAGACAUCUCCAAUAAGUGGUAUCAGAGCAAGACGAUACCAGAGCGUAGGUUGUGAUCGUAGUAAUCAAAAUUGAAGAUGAAGAAGAUAGGCUCAAUUAAGAUGGAGAUCAAUAGGUUUGAUAAAAAAUAUAAUUUCUUUUUAUGGCAAGCGUGGGUAAAGAAAGUGCUCAUCCAGUAAGGAUUGAUCGAUGCUCUCUUAUAGGAGAAAAAGCCGGCUACUUUGAAGAUGC